UGUGAAGGUAUGUGAAGGAUACUAGAACGGACUCUGACUCCGUGAAUAGGGGUUCAAAUCCCUUUCUCCCAGCCA
rnacentral:tRNA from 1 species